CCGCUCCUGCUGCUGCUGCUGCUGUUCUGCUGAGUGACGACUGUCUCUCCACAGAAUCACCGGCAGCUCUCUCCUGUCGGUCUUCACCGCGUUCUCAGGGGAUCUUACGAGUCUCUCAGCCAGCAGGUAGACCAAAGCAGCAGAAAAACACUGGCCACACAGCUACUCUAAGCAAGCUGAUAACCGCAAGGCAAGGGAGCUAGAUUAGAUAUGAAUGGGAGGAGAGGUGCCCCCUUCAGAGCAGGAGCCCGGCGGCAGAUGACUCCAUUGCCUCCCAGAGUUAUGCCUCCAUGCAGACAAUGUUGAGGAUAGUCAAGUGUGACACUCAGUCGCCUUGUCCUUCCAUAAGACCUGGGGGCAUAUGAAUACGGAGUGGACCUAAUUCACCCUGGAAAGGCAGCUGCUAAAAGGGCACGCAGCAAAUCUGAUGGGACCUCCAACUGAACAACCUGCAGGAGUGCACAAUUAGCUCUACACAUACGUUUCUACAAUGCGAAGUAAAAUGUGCGUGUUUAAUUCUGCGCUCUACUGCUUAAACAUGUAAUAAAGUGUGGUCCCUGUUACUUCUACUGGCUGGACACUCGUUUACCCUGCACUGUCACUUUGGAGAAAGCAUCUACAGAUUCCGGAGACUGUGGCUGCCAAUCCUGCCCUAUUCCAUCAGUGGGACUCCGUGACAUGUAUGCAAUGUUCCUGUGCCUAAAGGAUUUCGUAAAUGUGAUUUUAUACUUCUUGUUGUUGUAA